rnacentral:tRNA from 1 species
UCUAAUAUGGCAGAAUAGUGCAAUGAAUUUAAGCUUCAUUUAUAAAGAUAUCUCUUUUGUUAGAA